rnacentral:rRNA from 2 species
UCCGCGCUGGACCGUGUACAAGUCUCUUGGAACAGAGCGUCAUAGAGGGUGAGAAUCCCGUCUUUGACACGGACUACCAGUGCUUUGUGAUGCGCUUUCAAAGAGUCGAGUUGUUUGGGAAUGCAGCUCAAAAUGGGUGGUGAAUUCCAUCUAAAGCUAAAUAUUGGCGAGAGACCGAUAGCGAACAAGUACCGUGAGGGAAAGAUGAAAAGCACUUUGGAAAGAGAGUUAAACAGUACGUGAAAUUGCUGAAAGGGAAACGCUUGAAGUCAGUCGCGUUGUUCAGAACUCAGCCUUGCUUUUGCUUGGUGCACUUUCUGAAUGACGGGCCAGCAUCGAUUUUGACCGUCGGAAAAGGGCUAGAGUAAUGUGGCACCUCCGGGUGUGUUAUAGACUCUAGUCGCACACGGCGGUUGGGAUCGAGGACCGCAGCGCGCCGCAAGGCAGGGGUUCGCCCACUUUCGCGCUUAGGAUGCUGGCAUAAUGGCUUUAAACGACCCGUCUUGAAACACGGACCAAGGAGUCUAACAUGCCUGCGAGUGUUUGGGUGGAAAACCCGAGCGCGUAAUGAAAGUGAAAGUUGAGACCUCUGUCGUGGAGGGCAUCGACGCCCGGACCUGACGUUCUCUGAAGGAUCCGCGGUAGAGCAUGUAUGUUGGGACCCGAAAGAUGGUGAACUAUGCCUGAAUAGGGUGAAGCCAGAGGAAACUCU